rnacentral:rRNA from 1 species
AGAGCGAACGCUGGCGGCAGGCUUAACACAUGCAAGUCGAGCGGGCGUAGCAAUACGUCAGCGGCAGACGGGUGAGUAACGCGUGGGAACGUACCUUUUGGUUCGGAACAACCCAGGGAAACUUGGGCUAAUACCGGAUAAGCCCUUACGGGGAAAGAUUUAUCGCCGAAAGAUCGGCCCGCGUCUGAUUAGCUAGUUGGUGGGGUAAUGGCCCACCAAGGCGACGAUCGGUAGCUGGUCUGAGAGGAUGAUCAGCCACAUUGGGACUGAGACACGGCCCAAACUCCUACGGGAGGCAGCAGUGGGGAAUAUUGGACAAUGGGCGCAAGCCUGAUCCAGCAAUGCCGCGUGAGUGAUGAAGGCCUUAGGGUUGUAAAGCUCUUUCGCCCGCGACGAUGAUGACGGUAGCGGGAGAAGAAGCCCCGGCUAACUUCGCGCCAGCAGCCGC